rnacentral:rRNA from 1 species
UACGUAGGGUGCAAGCGUUGUCCGGAUUCAUUGGGCGUAAAGAGCGUGUAGGCGGCCAGGUAGGUCGGUUGUGAAAACUGGAGGCUCAACCUUCAGAGGUCGACCGAAACCAUCUGGCUAGAGUCCGGGAGAGGAGAGUGGAAUUCCCGGUGUAGCGGUGAAAUGCGCAGAGUAUCGGGAAGAACACCCGUGGCUAAGGCGGCUCUCUAGUACGGUACUGACGCUGAGACGCGAAAGCGUGGGGAGCGAACAGG